GUCUGGCUGGCUCAGUCGGUAGAGCGUGUGACUCUUGAUCUCAGGGUUGUGAGUUUGAGUCCCACAUUGGGUG
rnacentral:tRNA from 1 species